rnacentral:rRNA from 1 species
CCUACGGGAGGCUGCAGUGGGGAAUAUUGGACAAUGGGCGAAAGCCUGAUCCAGCCAUGCCGCGUGUGUGAAGAAGGCCUUCGGGUUGUAAAGCACUUUCAGUGGGGAAGAAAGCCUUGGGGCUAAUACCCUCGAGGAAGGACAUCACCCACAGAAGAAGCACCGGCUAACUCCGUGCCAGCAGCCGCGGUAAUACGGAGGGUGCGAGCGUUAAUCGGAAUUACUGGGCGUAAAGCGCGCGUAGGCGGUCUGAUAAGCCGGUUGUGAAAGCCCCGGGCUCAACCUGGGAACGGCAUCCGGAACUGUCAGGCUAGAGUGUAGGAGAGGAAGGUAGAAUUCCCGGUGUAGCGGUGAAAUGCGUAGAGAUCGGGAGGAAUACCAGUGGCGAAGGCGGCCUUCUGGACUGACACUGACGCUGAGGUGCGAAAGCGUGGGUAGCAAACAGGAUUAGAUACCCGAGUAGUC